CCCUAGCCAAAGUUUUGCUAAAUUGAAAUAUGACUGUACACAGCUCCUAAACUGGAGUAGUCAAUCCCAUCUUGACACACGCACCGAUAAGUCAAGUACUUGACUACACCCAGCAGCCUUCCAUCACUGAAUUGGAAAUUCAGGUAGUCCAGUGCCUAAGUGCAGUGAGUUGCUCGCAAGUCACUAUGGCGAUCUCAGGUCAGAGGGAUAUUUAUACCCAUAUUCCAUCGGAGCAAAUCUUGACAGUAGAAAUAGCUCCGGAGUCGAUCAC
rnacentral:lncRNA from 1 species